GCAAGUCGAGCGGGGUUAUUUGAGAAAGCUUGCUUUUUUAAAUGACCUAGCGGCAGACGGGUGAGUAACACGUAAGUAUCUACCCUUGAGAGGGGAAUAACCUACCGAAAGGUAAGCUAAUACCCCAUAUUAUCAGUUGAUGUUUUUGUCAGUUGAUGAAAGGAGUAAUCCGCUCAGGGAGGAGCUUGCGGUCUAUCAGCUUGUUGGUAGGGUAAUGGCCUACCAAGGCUACGACGGAUAGCCGGCCUGAAAGGGUGAUC
rnacentral:rRNA from 1 species